rnacentral:rRNA from 1 species
UACGUAGGGGGCAAGCGUUGUUCGGAUUCAUUGGGCGUAAAGGGUGCGUAGGCGGCGCGGUAAGUCGGGUGUGAAAUCUUGGAGCUUAACUCCGAAACUGCAUUCGAUACUGCCGUGCUUGAGGACUGGAGAGGAGACUGGAAUUUACGGUGUAGCGGUGAAAUGCGUAGAUAUCGUAAGGAAGACCAGUGGCGAAGGCGGGUCUCUGGACAGUUCCUGACGCUGAGGCACGAAGGCCAGGGGAGCAAACGGG